rnacentral:rRNA from 1 species
AACGAACGCUGGCGGCAUGCCUAACACAUGCAAGUCGAGCGAGACCUUCGGGUAUAGUGGCGCACGGGUUCGUAACGCGUGGGAACCUGCCCUUAGGUUCGGAAUAACUCCCCGAAAGGGGUGCUAAUACCGGAUAAUGUCUUCGGACCAAAGAUGUAUCGCCUUUGGAUGGGCCCGCGUUGGAUUAGCUAGUUGGUAGGGUAAAAGCCUACCAAGGCGACGAUCCAUAGCUGGUCUGAGAGGAUGAUCAGCCACACUGGGACUGAGACACGGCCCAGACUCUUACGAGAGGACGAAGUUGGGAAUAUUGGACAAUGGGCGAAAGCCUGAUCCAGCAAUGCCGCGUGAGUGAUGAAGGCCUUAGGGUUGUAAAGCUCUUUUACCCGGGAUGAUAAUGACAGUACCGGGAGAAUAAGCUCCGGCUAACUCCGUG